rnacentral:misc_RNA from 1 species
CACCACUCAAGCCUCGCUUGGUAUUGGGCGACGCGGUCCGCCGCGCGCCUCAAAUCGACCGGCUGGGUCUUCUGUCCCCUCAGCGUUGUGGAAACUAUUCGCUAAAGGGUGCCACGGGAGGUCACGCCGAAAAACAAACCCAUUUCUAA